GAUGAACGCUGGCGGCGUGCCUAAUACAUGCAAGUCGAGCGAACGGACGAGAAGCUUGCUUCUCUGAUGUUAGCGGCGGACGGGUGAGUAACACGUGGAUAACCUACCUAUAAGACUGGGAUAACUUCGGGAAACCGGAGCUAAUACCGGAUAAUAUUUUGAACCGCAUGGUUCAAAAGUGAAAGACGGUCUUGCUGUCACUUAUAGAUGGAUCCGCGCUGCAUUAGCUAGUUGGUAAGGUAACGGCUUACCAAGGCAACGAUGCAUAGCCGACCUGAGAGGGUGAUCGGCCACACUGGAACUGAGACACGGUCCAGACUCCUACGGGAGGCAGCAGUAGGGAAUCUUCCGCAAUGGGCGAAAGCCUGACGGAGCAACGCCGCGUGAGUGAUGAAGGUCUUCGGAUCGUAAAACUCUGUUAUUAGGGAAGAACAUAUGUGUAAGUAACUGUGCACAUCUUGACGGUACCUAAUCAGAAAGCCACGGCUAACUACGUGCCAGCAGCCGCGGUAAUACGUAGGUGGCAAGCGUUAUCCGGAAUUAUUGGGCGUAAAGCGCGCGUAGGCGGUUUUUUAAGUCUGAUGUGAAAGCCCACGGCUCAACCGUGGAGGGUCAUUGGAAACUGGAAAACUUGAGUGCAGAAGAGGAAAGUGGAAUUCCAUGUGUAGCGGUGAAAUGCGCAGAGAUAUGGAGGAACACCAGUGGCGAAGGCGACUUUCUGGUCUGUAACUGACGCUGAUGUGCGAAAGCGUGGGGAUCAAACAGGAUUAGAUACCCUGGUAGUCCACGCCGUAAACGAUGAGUGCUAAGUGUUAGGGGGUUUCCGCCCCUUAGUGCUGCAGCUAACGCAUUAAGCACUCCGCCUGGGGAGUACGACCGCAAGGUUGAAACUCAAAGGAAUUGACGGGGACCCGCACAAGCGGUGGAGCAUGUGGUUUAAUUCGAAGCAACGCGAAGAACCUUACCAAAUCUUGACAUCCUUUGACAACUCUAGAGAUAGAGCCUUCCCCUUCGGGGGACAAAGUGACAGGUGGUGCAUGGUUGUCGUCAGCUCGUGUCGUGAGAUGUUGGGUUAAGUCCCGCAACGAGCGCAACCCUUAAGCUUAGUUGCCAUCAUUAAGUUGGGCACUCUAAGUUGACUGCCGGUGACAAACCGGAGGAAGGUGGGGAUGACGUCAAAUCAUCAUGCCCCUUAUGAUUUGGGCUACACACGUGCUACAAUGGACAAUACAAAGGGCAGCGAAACCGCGAGGUCAAGCAAAUCCCAUAAAGUUGUCCUCAGUUCGGAUUGCAGUCUGCAACUCGACUACAUGAAGCUGGAAUCGCUAGUAAUCGUAGAUCAGCAUGCUACGGUGAAUACGUUCCCGGGUCU
rnacentral:rRNA from 1 species